GCUGCGAGCGGAGCUGCCGGGCGGGGAAGGCUUCCCCGGGGUGCCGCCGGCAGAGACGGCGCUGGGAGGAUGCCGGCCAGCCGUGCCGAGCCGUGCCGAGCCGUGCCGAGCCGUGCCGUGCCGUGCCGUGCCGUGCCGUGCCGUGCCGUGCCGUGCCGUGCCGUGCCGCGCCCCUCCUCCGCGCUCCGUGGAGAGCGCACCGCGGAGCUCUCCCCGAGCCGAGGAGGGGCCGGGACGGAGCGCGCUGUGUAUCGCAUUAAAUGAAUCGCCUGGCUCCGGAGGAGGAGGCAGGUGAUUCUGCCCGACACAAUGAGGGGUUUUGAGCGCUGCGGAAUAAAGCGCCCUUCAUCGGCCCCGGGGGCGCCGGGGCCCGGCUCCGCCGCGGUACCGCCUGGCCCCCGGGGGAGCCCGGAGCUCCCCGGCGCCCGGAGCUGCGGCGCCCCCCGACCGCGCCCGGAGAAAGGGAGGCGGCCGAGGGGGGGGUGGGGGGGUGGGGGGGGGGCUGCAGCCGGUGCCCCCCCGGGGGCGGCCCCCUGGGAGGCAGGGGAGCGGGCGGGGAGCGGGCGGCCCGUCGGGCACGGCACGGCGCGGCACGGAGCGCGGGGCCCCCGGGCGGAGCUGCCCGGGUUGGGGCCGUGGCAGGCGUUGUUUUCCUCGGAGAGCAGAGGAGGAGGAGGAGGAGGAGGAGGAAAUCUCCGGGUUUUUAAUGAGGGGGUGCAGCGGGGCUGAGCGCUGGGAUUACACGGCGCGGAGCCGGAGCUGCGGGCUGUGUGUGUGCGCGCAGGGCUGGCCGUCCCCGCCUGUCUGCCUGCUAAUCGCACGUUUUCCGCUGUUAAAAAGAAACCGAGACGCUGUGGCCGAGCCCAGCGCUGUCUCUGUGACUGUGACAUGAAAAGAUGGCGCUCUCUCCCCUCCCCCAGCCUCCCUCUCGGCUUACACUUCCUCCCCAACAGCUUUUGCCUUCCAGUUUUUUAAAGCCCUCUUUUCUCCUUUCCUUCCCCCCCCCCACCUCCUCCGGCCGGAUACCGCGAGCUUCCCAGCCGAUCGCAACGAGAGACCGAGAGGAAACACGCUGCUGCUGUGCAAAAUGUGGACCAUGUGUGGGAACUAUUUACUCAGAGUGCAACUGCAGGCACCAGGCGAGGGGCUGGCAGAGCCGGGGGGCGGCGGAGAGAGAGGCUACAUCUCUCUCGCCUUUUUUCCUCUCCCCUAAAGCCAAACCACGUCGCUGCGUCUGUAACGGUGCGUUUUACCGACUUUCUCGCUGGGCACAUGUUUUUUUUAUAAGUCCAAGGCUUUUGCGAUUCGCUUUUGUGUUUGCCCACCUCAAGCCUCUGCGGGCAAAGGGUUAAAUCUUCGGAGCAGUGGAAGGAAGCAGCUGAGUUUCAACAACAACAAAAAAAAAAAAGGUGGGGGGAGAAGAAAGGAGCGGGAGCAGGGAAGAAGCGAGGCGAGAGGGCUGCACGGUCCCCUGAUUGUCCCUUUGGCUGCUGUAGAAUAAUAAAAAUAAUUAAUAACAAUAGUAACCCCCA
rnacentral:lncRNA from 1 species